rnacentral:misc_RNA from 1 species
CGCUGGCAGAAUACUCGCGGUUGGAUCUUUGGCGUAAUUAGGCACGAGUGUGAGUCCGUACCGUUUUGUGUAUUCUCCAAAUUCAAUUUUCCAUCCGGCGACAGACCUCGUUCAUAGCUUGAGCAGCACUUCAGGCAGGUGCAGCGUUCAGUUUAAGAGGCCGGGGCCAGUUCAGUUUCAGUCACAAUUUUGUGUUCGAGGACUUUCUCGCCGAAGAGACUGAAUUGUCUUUGCUUGGACUAAAUUGCAUUACGAAAUCCUUCUUGCGGGUGUGAAGCAAUUCGACACAGAAUAUUGUGCUAGUGGGCUCCGUUUCAGUUCUAGUGUGAGAUAUCGAGCCUUCGCCAAGUGUUCUAAAUUAAGACAUAACUGAGUGCGUUUCGAGGUGUCAUAGUGCGUGUGGAUUUGAUUUUGGGGAAAAGUUAGAGUAGCGCCAGCAGGAGCCAUGUCGAAGCCGCAGUCUGAUAUCGACAAGAGGAAGCAGAUUAGUGUCCGCGGGAUCGCCCAAGUGGAGGAUGUGACUGAGGUGAAGAAGACCUUCAACCGACACUUGCAUUACACCCUCGUCAAGGAUCGUAAUGUGGCCACCCCGCGGGACUACUACUUCGCUUUGGCGCACACUGUCAAGGACCACUUGGUCGGGCGUUGGAUCCGCACCCAACAACAUUACUAUGAGAAGGACCCUAAGCGAGUUUAUUACCUGUCCUUGGAAUAUUACAUGGGCCGUUCACUGCAGAACACCAUGAUUAACUUGGGGAUCCAAGGUGCUUGCGACGAAGCUAUGUACCAGGUUGGACUCGACAUUGAGGAGCUGGAAGAACUGGAAGAGGAUGCUGGAUUGGGUAAUGGUGGCUUGGGACGUUUAGCUGCUUGCUUCUUGGAUUCGAUGGCAACCCUUGGAUUGGCUGCUUAUGGUUAUGGCAUUCGUUACGAAUACGGUAUUUUCGCACAGAAAAUUAAGAAUGGCGAACAAGUUGAAGAGCCAGAUGAUUGGUUGCGUUUUGGCAACCCUUGGGAGAAAGCACGUCCUGAAUUUAUGUUGCCGAUCAACUUUUAUGGACGUGUAAUGGAUACACCUGAAGGAAAGAAAUGGGUUGAUACACAAAUUGUUUAUGCCAUGCCAUACGACAACCCAAUUCCAGGAUAUGGAAACAAUCAUGUCAAUACUCUUAGGUUAUGGUCAGCAAAGAGUCCUAUUGAUUUCAAUUUGAAGUUCUUCAACGAUGGUGACUACAUUCAAGCCGUCCUUGAUCGUAAUUUGGCUGAGAAUAUCUCCCGUGUCCUCUAUCCCAACGACAACUUCUUCGAGGGCAAAGAAUUGCGAUUGAAACAAGAAUACUUUAUGUGUGCCGCUACUUUGCAGGAUAUUAUUCGUCGUUACAAAUCAUCGAAAUUCGGCACUCGCGAAGCCGUCCGUCAAGACUUCAAGCACUUCCCCGACAAGGUUGCUAUCCAAUUGAACGAUACUCAUCCAUCCCUAGCCAUUCCGGAAUUAAUGAGAAUCUUGGUCGAUGUUGAGAAACUUCCAUGGGACGAGGCUUGGGAUGUGACCGUACGAACUUGUGCCUACACAAAUCACACUGUUUUGCCUGAAGCUUUAGAACGCUGGCCUGUAUCUAUGUUGGAAUCUAUUUUGCCAAGACAUUUACAAAUUAUUUAUCAUAUUAAUUUCUUGCACAUGGAAAAUGUCAAGAAAAAGUUCCCAGGCGAUUUGGACCGUAUGCGUCGUAUGUCUUUAGUUGAAGAGGACGGUGAGAAGCGCAUCAACAUGGCUCACUUGUCUAUUGUUGGGUCUCAUGCUGUUAAUGGUGUAGCGGCUAUUCACUCUGAAAUUAUUAAACAGGAAAUCUUCAAGGACUUCUAUGAAAUGGAACCCCAGAAAUUCCAAAAUAAAACAAACGGUAUCACUCCACGUCGCUGGCUGUUACUUUGCAAUCCUGGCUUGGCUGAUAUUAUCUGUGAGAAAAUUGGUGAAGAAUGGCCUGUGCAUCUUGAUCAAUUAGUUGCUUUGAAGAAGUGGGCCAAGGAUCCACAAUUCCAACGCGCUGUAGCUAAGGUUAAGCAAGAAAACAAAUUGAAACUCGCACAAAUUCUUGAAAAGGAUUACGGAGUUAAAGUGAACCCUGCCUCGAUGUUCGAUAUCCAAGUGAAACGUAUCCACGAAUACAAGCGUCAACUCCUGAACUGCCUCCACAUCAUCACUCUCUACAAUAGAAUUAAGAAAGAUCCCACCGCUAACUUUACUCCUCGCACAAUUAUGAUUGGUGGCAAGGCUGCGCCAGGUUACUACAUGGCUAAGCAAAUCAUUAAACUCAUUUGCGCUGUCGGCAAUGUUGUCAAUAAUGAUCCUAUUGUUGGCGAAAAAUUGAAAGUAAUCUUCUUAGAGAACUACCGCGUUACUUUGGCUGAAAAAAUCAUGCCAGCCGCUGAUUUGUCUGAACAAAUCUCCACUGCGGGUACAGAAGCGUCUGGUACUGGUAACAUGAAGUUCAUGUUGAACGGUGCAUUGACAAUCGGUACUUUGGAUGGUGCCAACGUAGAAAUGGCUGAAGAAAUGGGCAGAGACAAUAUCUUCAUUUUCGGUAUGACUGUGGAGGAAGUCGAGGCCUUGAAGCAGAAGGGCUACAAUGCCUAUGAUUAUUAUAACAGCAACCCAGACAUCAGGCAAUGCAUCGAUCAAAUCCAAGGUGGAUUCUUCAGCCCCGGUAAUCCUAACGAAUUUAAGAAUAUCGCUGAUGUAUUAUUGAAGUAUGAUCGCUUCUUCUUGCUGGCCGAUUAUGAGGCGUAUAUUAAAGCACAAGAUCUCGUUUCAAAAACUUACCAGAAUCAAUCGAAAUGGCUUGAAAUGGCAAUCCAUAACAUCGCAUCAAGUGGCAAAUUCUCCAGCGAUCGUACUAUUGCUGAAUACGCCCGCGAGAUCUGGGGAGUUGAACCCACUUGGGAAAAACUCGCGGCCCCGCAUGAAAUUAGCAACUAGAUGUUUACUCUAUUUUGAUAUCUUAUUCUACGUUUUUUGUAAAGUUUUUGUUUUCUAUUGUUGUCGAAACCAAAGAAAUUGGAUAUUGAGAAAAACACAAAUAACUAAACUUUAAAAUUGAAUGACAAAUUUAGAAAAAAAAAUUUAAAGUAUAAAUAAAGAUAGGUCAAAUUAAUUUAUAUGAAUUGAAAGUUUUAAAGUCAUCAACUACCUGAUAGCGCAGUAAAGAGAUCCGAAAGCUACAUGAAAGCAAAGUCCCACUGCCAAAAUUCGUCAUACGAAUUCAGUUUUCUUUUCAGUGUUUUUAAAAGUCAAGGCAUAAGCUUCAAAUCAACUAUCGAGUUAAGUAAAAAAUGGUGAAUACUAAGAUACAAAUUCUGCAAAUGUAUGAUAAAUUGUCGACAAACGAAACGGGUAAAUAAUUCUUAUAAAGUAAUUAAUCCACAGACAGAAAAUCCCGCAAAACGUUGACCUUAUCGAAUCUGAAUAUUUUUACAAUGGAACGCGCUUUUAAUUUCCUAAUAAAAUACAAACGCAUAAACUCAAACAGAAGAAACAGAUCCUAUUACCAUUGUAACUAUCACUAAAAAAUAAAGAAGAGAUUAUAAAACUGUUAUUGUAUAUUCGAAUUUUAUUCAUUUGUUAUUAAAAUAAAUUAAAUGUGAAAAGAAAA